rnacentral:rRNA from 1 species
UACAGAGGUGGCAAGCGUUGUUCGGAAUUACUGGGCGUAAAGGGCGCGUAGGCGGUCUUGUAAGUCUUGUGUGAAAUCCCUCGGCUUAACUGAGGAACUGCACGGGAUACUGCGAGACUUGAGAUCGGGGAGAGGGAAGCGGAAUUCCGGGUGUAGCGGUGAAAUGGCGUAGAUAUCCGGAGGAACACCGGUGGCGAAGGCGGCUUCCUGGACCGACACUGACGCUGAGGCGCGAAAGCUAGGGAGCAAACGGG